rnacentral:snoRNA from 2 species
UGAUGAACUUUUACACAGACCUGUACUGAGAUAAUCAUGCAGAUAAAAUGUAAGCUGA